CUCCAAGUUGCUCAUGGCCAUGGAGAAGGGAAGUGUGAAGGAUAUUCAAGGAAAAACUCUGGAUGAAAUUGGUGAUGACAUAGAUGGGAUGGCUACUGGAUCACAGCAACUCCCUGAUGCUUCCACAUCAUGAGAUGACCAGGGGAAUGAUGCCUGUGUGACUUCUGGUUCACCUCCUGUCCCUGACUCAGUUACUAAAGGUUUACGUGUUUCAUCAAGGCGGUGUGUGAAGAGACCAUGGUCUGAGGAGGAGAUAGGAGCGGUGAUGAAACAUAUGAAGCCUUUUAUUGAAAACGGUAUCACUGUCACCAACCAGCAGUGUCUGAAGUGCAAAGAAAAGGAACAACCUAUCUUGGAGACGAGAUCUAUUCAAAACAUUCGAGAUUUUGUGCGCAACAGAGGACUG
ensembl:lncRNA